CCUACGGGAGGCUGCAGUGGGGAAUAUUGGACAAUGGGCGAAAGCCUGAUCCAGCCAUGCCGCGUGUGUGAAGAAGGCCUUCGGGUUGUAAAGCACUUUCAGUGGGGAAGAAAGCCUUGGGGCUAAUACCCUCGAGGAAGGACAUCACCCACAGAAGAAGCACCGGCUAACUCCGUGCCAGCAGCCGCGGUAAUACGGAGGGUGCGAGCGUUAAUCGGAAUUACUGGGCGUAAAGCGCGCGUAGGCGGUCUGAUAAGCCGGUUGUGAAAGCCCCGGGCUCAACCUGGGAACGGCAUCCGGAACUGUCAGGCUAGAGUGCAGGAGAGGAAGGUAGAAUUCCCGGUGUAGCGGUGAAAUGCGUAGAGAUCUGGAGGAAUACCAGUGGCGAAGGCGGCCUUCUGGACUGACACUGACGCUGAGGUGCGAAAGCGUGGGUAGCAAACAGGAUUAGAUACCCCGGUAGUC
rnacentral:rRNA from 1 species